rnacentral:rRNA from 1 species
GACGAACGCUGGCGGCGUGCUUAACACAUGCAAGUCGAACGGAAAGGCCCUGCUUGCAGGGUACUCGAGUGGCGAACGGGUGAGUAACACGUGGGUGAUCUGCCCUGCACUUCGGGAUAAGCCUGGUAAACUGGGUCUAAUACCGGAUAGGAGCCAUUUUUAGUGUGAUGGUUGGAAAGUUUUUUCGGUGUAGGAUGAGCUCGCGGCCUAUCAGCUUGUUGGUGGGGUAAUGGCCUACCAAGGCGGCGACGGGUAGCCGGCCUGAGAGGGUGGACGGCCACAUUGGGACUGAGAGACGGCCCAGACUCCUACGGGAGGCAGCAGUGGGGAAUAUUGCACAAUGGGCGCAAGCCUGAUGCAGCGACGCCGCGUGGGGGAUGAUGGCCUUCGGGUUGUAAACUCCUUUCGCUAGGGACGAAGCUUUUUGUGACGGUACCUAGAUAAGAAGCACCGGCUAACUACGUG